UACAGAGGGGGCAAGCGUUGUUCGGAAUUACUGGGCGUAAAGGGCGCGUAGGCGGCCCGCUAAGUCGAACGUGAAAUCCCCAGGCUCAACCUGGGAACUGCGUCCGAUACUGGCAGGCUUGAAUCCGGGAGAGGGAUGUGGAAUUCCAGGUGUAGCGGUGAAAUGCGUAGAUAUCUGGAGGAACACCGGUGGCGAAGGCGGCAUCCUGGACCGACACUGACGCUGAGGAGCGAAAGCCAGGGGAGCAAACGGG
rnacentral:rRNA from 1 species